rfam:Phytophthora infestans T30-4 supercont1.119 genomic scaffold, whole genome shotgun sequence.
ACCUUUUUAGCUCAGUGGUCGAGCGCUAGCUUUGGAAGCCACAGGUCGGUGGUUCGAACCCACCAGGGCAUA